CGGGGGAUUGUAUUACACCAGAAAACUUCUUUUCCAAAUUGUACUGUGUUUUAAACUUGCUGAUAACGAACUGCCUGGCAUCAGACUCCUCACGGUCGUGAUCCAGGUUGAUGACGCGUCAGUCUGAACGGUUUUCAUGCUCACUGCUUUGCGCAUGCUCACUUCUUUGCCGCUUACUUCCUUGCCUGCCCCGACCACCUGAAGGGUCUUCUACAGAUCCCUCCUCUGCAAAUAUGUUGCAUCUCCGCUGAAUGCCGGGGACUUCCAUUCCCGUUGCUACGGAUAAAGGGCAAGCAUGAUCACACUCCUCCUCAACACAGGACCUAUCAGCAGUCCAUGAGAAGGCAAAUCAGGAGUCUGCUGCUCUAGCUUUCCCGACCUCCAUGCUUCUCCCGGGAGAUGGGCGUGUUGUUUAGGAACAAGACUCCAACAUUGCUCUGUUUUAUUUGUGAUCCCUGGACACCCUCCACCCCCCAAUAAAAGAACUCAAGGUCUUACCGAGGCCACAGGAAGAGCAUCAGAGAACUGGAGGCAUCCUUGCAGAAGCCAUCUUUGAUGUCCAGGUGGGUCUGGCCUGUUCUACCCCUUGGUUCCUGAACCAACUGCACAGCCAAAGAUUCGGUUUGGCUAAAUCGAACAACAGAAAACUCCAGACAGCAGAGCUUUAAACACGCCAGACGUUUCUUUCUCUCAAAGAAGUCCGGGUGAGCUGUCCAGGCUGGAACACUGGUCCAGCAUUCGAAGGACACUGUACAUGAUGUUGGCCUUGUGGAUCAAAAUGACACUUCAGGCAGCAGGGUGGAGGAAGGUUAUGAAGAAAACUAAAGAUGCUUUCUCCUGAGAUUGUUUAAAGCCGCCCUGUGUCACAGGGCUACAUUCCACUGGCCUGGGUGUCUCUCAUCAUGUCUACUUGAAACAGACCCUGCAAAAUGCUUGCUGUAGAUCCUGCCACUUGGGUAAGAAGGCUGCGGUGCAGCUCUUGGCAAUAUCAGCCUUGUUGUUGGGUCGUGGGAAUAAAAGAGGAAAUCAGAGUUUUGAAUAUAGAAUGUUGACCAGGGAAGGGAGUGAGCCCUUGUCCCCCAGUGUCUGAAAGGUGGGGACUAGAGAAAGCCUAAGGUCAAAGAAGUCAGAUGGGAACCAGGAAGAUCACAUAAAAAGCCUCCGGGCCAGGCCUGGUGGCGCACGCCUUUAAUCCCAGCACUCGGGAGGCAGAGGCAGGCAGAUUUCUGAGUUCGAGGCCAGCCUGGUUCCAGGACAGCCAAACAAAACAAAACAAAAAGUCUCCAGAUGUGGUGGCUCACAUCUGUAUCCCAGAACUCCAGAUUGGAGGCAAGGAAGGAAAAAAUGGCUUCCUUAAUGUGAAAACAGAAGAAA
rnacentral:lncRNA from 1 species